rnacentral:rRNA from 1 species
GACGAACGCUGGCGGCGUGCUUAACACAUGCAAGUCGAGCGGUAAGGCCCUUUCGGGGGUACACGAGCGGCGAACGGGUGAGUAACACGUGGGUGACCUGCCCUUAGCUCUGGGAUAAGCCUGGGAAACUGGGUCUAAUACCGGAUAUGACUCCAUAACGCAUGUUGUGGGGUGGAAAGCCUUGUGCGGCUAGGGAUGGGCCCGCGGCCUAUCAGCUUGUUGGUGGGGUGAUGGCCACCAAGGCGACGACGGGUAGCCGGCCUGAGAGGGCGACCGGCCACACUGGGACUGAGACACGGCCCAGACUCCUACGGGAGGCAGCAGGUGGGGAAUCUUACGCAAUGGGCGAAAGCCUGACGCAGCGACGCCGCGUGGGGAUGAC